CCUACGGGAGGCAGCAGUGGGGAAUAUUGCACAAUGGGGGGAACCCUGAUGCAGCGACGCCGCGUGAGUGAAGAAGUAUUUCGGUAUGUAAAGCUCUAUCAGCAGGGAAGAAAAUGACGGUACCUGACUAAGAAGCCCCGGCUAACUACGUGCCAGCAGCCGCGGUAAUACGUAGGGGGCAAGCGUUAUCCGGAUUUACUGGGUGUAAAGGGAGCGCAGACGGCUGUGCAAGUCUGGAGUGAAAGGCGGGGGCCCAACCCCCGGACUGCUCUGGAAACUGUAAAGCUGGAGUGCAGGAGAGGUAAGCGGAAUUCCUAGUGUAGCGGUGAAAGGCGUAGAUAUUAGGAGGAACACCAGUGGCGAAGGCGGCUUACUGGACUGCAACUGACGUUGAGGCUCGAAAGCGUGGGGAGCAAACAGGAUUAGAUACCCCGGUAGUC
rnacentral:rRNA from 1 species